rnacentral:lncRNA from 1 species
UAAGAAUGGUUGAAAGUUAUUAAGUAAAUUACAAAAUAAAGUAAGGGUAAAAAUGGUAGAAAAAUAAGUUACAUCAAUACAAAUAUUCCAUUUAUAUAUUGUUAUAGAUUUAAUUAAAUAAGCUUCUAGAAGACACUCACACUAUUUGCAUAAUUUCUAAAUCACCCCUUAACCUAAUUCUAGAGCCUAUAAAUAAACUCC